AUGGCCGCCUCCUCCAGUGCUGCACCGGCCAACCUCUCUGGUCAGGUCACCGAGAAGCUGACCCCCACCAACUACAUCCUUUGGCGGACUCAAGUCACGCCACAGCUCCGUGGUGCGGGCUUCUUCGGGUAUGUUGACGGCUCCAUGCCUGAGCCGGCCAAACUCGUCGUCGUCAAGGACAAGGAUGGGAAGGAGACGACUACACCCAAUCCCCUUCAUCGAGUCUGGAUCCAUGAAGAACAACAGGUACUUGGAUACCUUCUGAAUAAUCUCUCCAAGGAGGUCCUUGUGCAGGUCACCACGAUC
rnacentral:rRNA from 1 species